rnacentral:rRNA from 1 species
CCGCUUUUUGAGGAGCCCGCGGCCUAUCAGCUUGUUGGUGAGGUAACGGCUCACCAAGGCAUUGACGGGUAGCUGGUCUGAGAGGACGACCAGUCACACUGGGACUGAGACACGGCCCAG